rnacentral:rRNA from 1 species
UGGCGGCGUGCCUUAUCAUGCUUAAAUCUGCGAAGGGAAAAGUAGCUUGCUUUCCCCCGUUAGCGGGGGACGGGUGAGUAACACGUGGGCAACCUGCCUGUAAGACUGUUUUCCCUUCGGGAAACCGAAGCUAAUACCGGAUAGGAUCUUCUCCUUCAUGGGAGAUGAUUGAAAGAUGGUUUCGGCUAUCACUUACAGAUGGGCCCGCGGUGCAUUAGCUAGUUGGUGAGGUAACGGCUCACCAAGGCAACGAUGCAUAGCCGACCUGAGAGGGUGAUCGGCCACACUGGGACUGAGACACGGCCCAGACUCCUACGGGAGGCAGCAGUAGGGAAUCUUCCGCAAUGGACGAAAGUCUGACGGAGCAACGCCGCGUGAGUGAUGAAGGCUUUCGGGUCGUAAAACUCUGUUGUUAGGGAAGAACAAGUACAAGAGUAACUGCUUGUACCUUGACGGUACCUAACCAGAAAGCCACGGCUAACUACGUGCCAGCAGCCGCGGUAAUACGUAGGUGGCAAGCGUUAUCCGGAAUUAUUGGGCGUAAAGCGCGCGCAGGCGGUUUCUUAAGUCUGAUGUGAAAGCCCCGGCUCAACCGUGGGAGGGUCAUUGGAAACUGGGGAACUUGAGUGCA